UAGCAUCACUGUGCCACAGAACCCUGGGGAUGUUGCUGGUGUGAGAGAUCCUUCAGGAACCCAGCAGAGGAGAGUUUCAGCUGCUUCCAGUCUGAGACCACAGGCAGGUGACCCUGGAGAAGGUGCUGGUGUUCUCUUAUUCUCAGUUUUGCAGCCUGAAAUACUUCCCUCAGUUCCUGCUGCUGCCUCCCUCUGCACAGUCAAGUGUGAGCUGAAGUCCCAUGAAAAGUGGUAUAGGAAUUGCUGGGAGUCUACUUCCCCUUUUUUGGAGGAGAUCAGUCCAUGUGCUCCAUCCUCUGGAGCUCCCUUCUCUCCUGGCUGAGGGUGACCCAGAGCUGGGUGAA